rnacentral:rRNA from 1 species
GACGAACGCUGGCGGCGUGCUUAACACAUGCAAGUCGAACGGUGAAGCGCCUUCCUUUUUGGUGGGUGUGGAUGAGUGGCGAACGGGUGAGUAACACGUGAGUAACCUGCCCCCUUCUUCUGGAUAACCGCAUGAAAGUGUGGCUAAUACGGGAUAUUCUGGGUCUGUCGCAUGAUGGGUCUGGGAAAGAUAUUGUUUCGGUGGGGGAUGGGCUCGCGGCCUAUCAGCUUGUUGGUGGGGUGAUGGCCUACCAAGGCGGUGACGGGUAGCCGGCCUGAGAGGGUGGACGGUCACACUGGGACUGAGACACGGCCCAGACUCAUACGGGAGGCAGCAGUGGGGAAUAUUGCACAAUGGGCGCAAGCGUGAUGCAGCGACGCCGCGUGAGGGAUGGAGGCCUUCGGGUUGUGAACCUCUUUCGCCAGUGAAGCAGGCCUGCCUCGUUUGUGGGUGGGUUGACGGUAGCUGGAUAAGAAGCGCCGGCUAACUACGUG